rnacentral:rRNA from 1 species
AAAAUCCAUGAUCCUAUGCUGCCGAGAAAAGCCUCUAGCGAGCUGGUACAUGGCCCGUACCCCAAACCGACACAGGUGGUCAGGUAGAGAAUACUAAGGCGAUCGAGAGAACUGUGGUUAAGGAACUCGGCAAAAUGCCCCCGUAACUUCGGGAGAAGGGGGACCAGUCCUGGUGACGACAUUUACUGUCUGAGCUGGGGUUGGUCGCAGAGACCAGAGAGAAGCGACUGUUUACUAAAAACACAGGUCCGUGCGAAGUCGUAAGACGAUGUAUACGGACUGACGCCUGCCCGGUGCUGGAAGGUUAAGAGGACCGGUCAGCCACUUCGGUGGCGAAGCUGAGAAUUUAAGCCCCAGUAAACGGCGGUGGUAACUAUAACCAUCCUAAGGUAGCGAAAUUCCUUGUCGGGUAAGUUCCGACCUGCACGAAUGGCGUAACGACUUCUCUGCUGUCUCAACCACAGACUCGGCGAAAUUGCAGUACGAGUAAAGAUGCUCGUUACGCGCGGCAGGACGAAAAGACCCCGGGACCUUCACUAUAGCUUGGUAUUGGUGUUCGGUUCGGUUUGUGUAGGAUAGGUGGGAGACUGUGAAACUCGCACGCCAGUGUGGGUGGAGUCAUUGUUGAAAUACCACUCUGACCGUAUUGGACAUCUAACCUCGGACCAUGAUCUGGUUCAGGGACAGUGCCUGGUGGGUAGUUUAACUGGGGCGGUUGCCUCCUAAAAAGUAACGGAGGCGCCCAAAGGUUCCCUCAGCCUGGUUGGCAAUCAGGUGUUGAGUGUAAGUGCACAAGGGAGCUUGACUGUGAGACGUACAUGUCGAGCAGGGACGAAAGUCGGGACUAGUGAUCCGGCACCGGCAAGUGGAAGCGGUGUCGCUCAACGGAUAAAAGGUACCCCGGGGAUAACAGGCUGAUCUUCCCCAAGAGUCCAUAUCGACGGGAUGGUUUGGCACCUCGAUGUCGGCUCGUCGCAUCCUGGGGCUGGAGUAGGUCCCAAGGGUUGGGCUGUUCGCCCAUUAAAGCGGCACGUGAGCUGGGUUUAGAACGUCGUGAGACAGUUCGGUCUCUAUCCGCCGCGCGCGUAAGGAACUUGAGGAAACCUGUCCCUAGUACGAGAGGACCGGGACGGACGAACCUCUGGUGUGCCAGUUGUUCCACCAGGAGCACCACUGGUUAGCUACGUUCGGAAGGGAUAACCGCUGAAAGCAUCUAAGCGGGAAGCCUGUUCCAAGAUGAGGUUUCUCACCACCUAGCGUGGUUAAGGCCCCCCACAGACCAUGGGGUUGAUAGGCCAGAACUGUAAGCACAGCAAUGUGUUCAGGUGACUGGUACUAAUCGGCCGAGGACUUAC